GACGUAGGGCGCGAGCGUUGUCCGGAUUUAUUGGGCGUAAAGAGCUCGUAGGCGGCUUGUUGCGUCAGCUGUGAAAACCCGCAGCUCAACUGUGGGCUUGCAGCUGAUACGGGCAGGCUUGAGUUCGGUAGGGGAGACUGGAAUUCCUGGUGUAGCGGUGAAAUGCGCAGAUAUCAGGAGGAACACCGGUGGCGAAGGCGGCAUCCUGGACCGACACUGACGCUGAGGAGCGAAAGCCAGGGGAGCAAACGGGG
rnacentral:rRNA from 1 species